AGAUAAGUGCUGAAAGCAUCUAAGCACGAAACUUGCCCUGAGAUGAGUUCUCCCUGAGACUUAGAGUCUCCUGAAGGAACGUUGAAGACGACGACGUUGAUAGGCCGGGUGUGUAAGCGCAGCGAUGCGUUGAGCUAACCGGUACUAAUGAACCGUGAGGCUUAACCUUACAACGCCGAAG
rnacentral:rRNA from 1 species